UUUGCACAACCAUAAAAAAUUUAGAACCGCAAGAAGUCAAAGAUAUCCUUCAGUCAACAUCCACAAUUAAAGGCAAUAUUUAUCUAUUCAAUGAAUGACCAUAAAAUAUUGAAACACUUUUUUUUUUCUUCAGCUGGAUUAAAUAUAGAAAAUGUAGUGCCACGUUUCAUUACAAGGACCUUGAAAAGGUGAGCCGAGUAAUUUUGAUCUUUUGCACUUUUUCUCCUUUAGACUAGAGCCCACCAAUAUUGUCUCCUUCAAACUCUGAACCAGACUUAUCUUUUAUAAAUGAACACAUCCAACAUUCUUUCAUUCCUGCAUCUCCUCUCCCUCUUCAAUCCUCAGAAAACCAAAGAGAAAUAUGACUUUAAAACUGCGUUCAUCAACUUCUUUUAUCAAUCUGAAAGACACCAAAAGCCUCAAAACCCCUGAUGACUUUUCUGGUGCAAUUUGCUUUGCACAAAUCAAGCCAUCAUGCCACCUCAGAACAAAGAAUUCAAUACAAGAAGCACAGCUCUCACAUGAUAAUAUCUUCACGAUGGAAAGAAGGAAAAGUGACAAGUGGGAGAAGCUACAUGCAAUAUCCGGUCGUCACAGUAGCAAUAACUCUAAGGUGCCUGUGUUUGUGAUGCUGCCACUUGACACAAUAACACUAGGGGGAAAUUUAAAUAAGCCACGAGCAAUGAAUGCUAGCUUGAUGGCCUUGAAUAGUGCAAGUGUAGGAGUGAUAGUUGAUGCUUGGUGGGGUUUGGUGGAGAAAGAUGGACCACUUAAGUACAAUUGGGAAGGAUAUGCUGAGCUUGUGCAGAUGGUUCAAAAGUAUGGACUGAAGCUUCAAGUUGUUAUGUCCUUCCAUCAAUGUGGUGGAAAUGUUGGAGAUUCAUGCAGGUAAUUUAUAGGAUCUACCUUUUACCAUUUAACAGUGGGUUUAAAUUGAUGGUCACAGACACGCAACAGUUUUUAAUUUGAAUCAUUAAUUCUCUUUCAAGAUUAAGAAAAUAAUUCUUCACCUAGGAAUAUUUCGCACAGUACUCAAGAGCCAAGCUAUAAAUUUUUUUUCCUACUUCUCUAAUCAUUUGUUUGAUUCCUUAAUUCUGCAAAGGAAAUGAAAAGAAAUUAAAUAAAGUAAAAGAAAAGAAAAAAAAGUCUACUUUUCAUUUGAUUGAUUGGUU
rnacentral:misc_RNA from 1 species